AUCAGAAUGGUGGGAACACAAGGCAAUGUCCUUGUGCUGCUUUUACGCUCAAGGACGAAGCACGGCAUGUUUUCAAGAAAGCCCAUUAUUACUUGUAUAAUCAAUAAAAACAUAUGUUGCUGCUUUGGUAUUUCUGGAAUGUUAAGAAAACAAGUCUUAAAAUGUAAACAUAGGUAAUGCUUAAAUAAAAACUACCACAGCAGGACAGAUGGCGCUGUUUUGCCUGAGCGAGCGGCAGCCCUCUACUGCUGUGCUUCGGCACAAUUCAUCUCGUGUGAUGAGCUUACUUUCGGGCCUGUCAUAAGAAAAACUACAACAUUUGGCGCCCGAACAGGGACCUGAAUUCCGAGGACGAGUGAAAGCUACCCGCCAUGCAACAUCGCAACAAGCUGCCGUGUUCUCCUUGAUGUUGCACAAGCUGCAAAACAAAAAGGGGGAAAUGUAGUGGAAUAACUGAGGACAUGGAAAGGAGACGUGACCCAUGAACCCCCAUCCCCCACCCCCAGCAAACUGGGGGCUGGCGAAUAAGCCAGAACUUCAAGCAGUCCUGAUUGCUUUGAGCCCCACCCCCGGCCAACCGGGGGCAUGCGAAUAAGCCAGAACUGUAAACAGUCCUGAAUGCUUUGAGCCCCCCCUCCCCGGUAAACCGGGGGCCUGCGAAUAAGCAUUGAGUGCUUUGGGCACUGAUCCAUGCGAUGUCCUCAGUAUAAUCAUAAUGGUGGGAACACAAGUCAAUGUCCUUGUGCUGCUUUUGCGCACAAGGACGAAGCACGGCAUGUUUUCAAGAAAGCCCAUUAUUACUUGUAUAAUCAAUAAAAACAUAUGUUGCUGCUUUGGUAUUUCUGGAAUGUUAAGAAAACAAGCCUUAAAAUGUAAACAUAGAUAAUGCUUAAAUAAAAGCUACCACAGCAGGACAGACGGCGCUGUUUUGCCUGAGCGAGCGGCAGCCCUCUACUGCUGUGCUUCGGCACAAUUCA